GACGAACGCUGGCGGCGUGCUUAACACAUGCAAGUCGAACGGAAAGGCCCUGCUUUUGUGGGGUGCUCGAGUGGCGAACGGGUGAGUAACACGUGAGUAACCUGCCCUUGACUUUGGUAUAACUUCAGGAAACUGGGGCUAAUACCGGAUAGGAGCUCCUGCUGCAUGGUGGGGGUUGGAAAGUUUCGGCGGUUGGGGAUGGACUCGCGGCUUAUCAGCUUGUUGGUGGGGUAGUGGCUUACCAAGGCUUUGACGGGUAGCCGGCCUGAGAGGGUGACCGGCCACAUUGGGACUGAGAUACGGCCCAGACUACUACGGGAGGCAGCAGUGGGGAAUAUUGCACAAUGGGCGGAAGCCUGAUGCAGCAACGCCGCGUGCGGGAUGACGGCCUGCGGGUUGUAAACCGCUUUCGCCUGUGACGAAGCGUGAGUGACGGUAAUGGGUAAAGAAGCACCGGCUAACUACGUG
rnacentral:rRNA from 1 species